rnacentral:tRNA from 2 species
UCUCCGGUCGUCUAAUGGCAGGACACGGGAUUUUGGUUCCUGUAAUUGGGGUUCGACUCCCUACCGGAGAA